rnacentral:rRNA from 1 species
CCCUUAGAUGUCCGGGGCCGCACGCGCGCUACACUGAAGGAAUCAGCGUGGCUUUCUCCCUGACCCGAAAGGGUUGGGAAACCCGUUGAAUCUCCUUCGUGAUAGGGAUUGGGGCUUGAAAUUGUUCCCCAUGAACGAGGAAUUCCUAGUAAGCGUGAGUCAUCAGCUCGCGUUGAUUACGUCCCUGCCCUUUGUACACACCGCCCGUCGCUACUACCGAUUGAAUGGCUUAGUGAGCCUUUGGGAUUGGCAGCCAACACCGGCAACGGUAGCUGGCCGCCGAAAACUUAUGCAAACUUGGUCAUUUAGAGGAAGUAAAAGUCGUAACA